GAUGAACGCUGGCGGCGUGCUUAACACAUGCAAGUCGAACGGGAAUUCUUUUAUUGACACUUCGGUCGAUUUAAUUUAAUUCUAGUGGCGGACGGGUGAGUAACGCGUGGGUAACCUGCCUUAUACAGGGGGAUAACAGUCAGAAAUGGCUGCUAAUACCGCAUAAGCGCACAGAGCUGCAUGGCUCAGUGUGAAAAACUCCGGUGGUAUAAGAUGGACCCGCGUUGGAUUAGCUGGUUGGUGGGGUAACGGCCCACCAAGGCGACGAUCCAUAGCCGGCCUGAGAGGGUGAACGGCCACAUUGGGACUGAGACACGGCCCAGACUCCUACGGGAGGCAGCAGUGGGGAAUAUUGCACAAUGGGGGAAACCCUGAUGCAGCGACGCCGCGUGAAGGAAGAAGUAUCUCGGUAUGUAAACUUCUAUCAGCAGGGAAGAUAGUGACGGUACCUGACGAAGAAGCCCCGGCUAACUACGUG
rnacentral:rRNA from 1 species